CGGCGAGGGGAGUGAAAAAGAACCUGAAACCGUGUACGUACAAGCAGUGGGAGCCUCUUUUAUGGGGUGACUGCGUACCUUUUGUAUAAUGGGUCAGCGACUUAUAUUCUGUAGCAAGGUUAACCGAAUAGGGGAGCCGAAGGGAAACCGAGUCUUAACCGGGCGUUAAGUUGCAGGGUAUAGACCCGAAACCCGGUGAUCUAGCCAUGGGCAGGUUGAAGGUUGGGUAACACUAACUGGAGGACCGAACCGACUAAUGUUGAAAAAUUAGCGGAUGACUUGUGGCUGGGGGUGAAAGGCCAAUCAAACCGGGAGAUAGCUGGUUCUCCCCGAAAGCUAUUUAGGUAGCGCCUCGUGAAUUCAUCUCCGGGGGUAGAGCACUGUUUCGGCAAGGGGGUCAUCCCGACUUACCAACCCGAUGCAAACUGCGAAUACCGGAGAAUGUUAUCACGGGAGACACACGGCGGGUGCUAACGUCCGUCGUGAAGAGGGAAACAACCCAGACCGCCAGCUAAGGUCCCAAAGUCAUGGUUAAGUGGGAAACGAUGUGGGAAGGCCCAGACAGCCAGGAUGUUGGCUUAGAAGCAGCCAUCAUUUAAAGAAAGCGUAAUAGCUCACUGGUCGAGUCGGCCUGCGCGGAAGAUGUAACGGGGCUAAACCAUGCACCGAAGCUGCGGCAGCGACACUGUGUGUUGUUGGGUAGGGGAGCGUUCUGUAAGCCUGUGAAGGUGUACUGUGAGGUAUGCUGGAGGUAUCAGAAGUGCGAAUGCUGACAUAAGUAACGAUAAAGCGGGUGAAAAGCCCGCUCGCCGGAAGACCAAGGGUUCCUGUCCAACGUUAAUCGGGGCAG
rnacentral:rRNA from 1 species